GGGGGUGUAGCUCAUUUGGCAGAGCGCGUCAUUAGCAUCUUCUGUUAUAGGUUCUUUGACGAGGUACUGGGUUCAAUUCCCAGCUCCUCCA
rfam:Cryptococcus gattii R265 unplaced genomic scaffold supercont2.7, whole genome shotgun sequence.